UACGUAGGGGGCAAGCGUUGUCCGGAAUCAUUGGGCGUAAAGCGCGUGUAGGCGGCUUGAUAAGUCUGCUCUGAAAGCCCGGGGCUCAACCCCGGGAGGCGGGUGGAUACUGUCAAGCUCGAGUCCGGAAGAGGAGUGUGGAAUUCCUGGUGUAGCGGUGAAAUGCGUAGAUAUCAGGAGGAACACCGGUGGCGAAAGCGCCUGUCUGGCCCAAUACUGACGCUGAUGCGCGAAAGCUAGGGGAGCAAACGGG
rnacentral:rRNA from 1 species